UGGGGAAUAUUGCACAAUGGGGGAAACCCUGAUGCAGCGACGCCGCGUGAGCGAUGAAGGCUUUCGGGUCGUAAAGCUCUGUCCUUGGGGAAGAAAAUGACGGUACCCAAGGAGGAAGCCCCGGCUAACUACGUGCCAGCAGCCGCGGUAAUACGUAGGGGGCGAGCGUUAUCCGGAAUUAUUGGGCGUAAAGGGUUCGCAGGUGGACCGAUAAGUCAGGUGUGAAAGGUAGUGGCUCAACCACUGCAAGCACCUGAAACUGUUGGUCUUGAGUGCAGGAGAGGAAAGUGGAAUUCCUAGUGUAGCGGUGAAAUGCGUAGAUAUUAGGAGGAACACCAGUGGCGAAGGCGACUUUCUGGACUGUAACUGACACUGAGGAACGAAAGCGUGGGGAGCAAACAGG
rnacentral:rRNA from 1 species